AGGCAAGAGCAGAGGCGCUGCCUCCGCCGGUUCCGUUACACCUGCCUCGGCCCCCGCCCCCCGGCCGUCGCCUCGGAGCCCCAGCAUCCACCAGCGCCGCGGCGCCGGGCCCGCUCCCGCCUGCGCGUCAGCCCGGCCCGCUCCGGCGCCCUCCCCCGCAGAGGCGGCGGGUUAUUCCCAGGCUUAUUCCCGGCGGCGGCUGCGCCGCAAACCGCUGCCCGCCCGGCUCGCGGCAGUGCCCGCCCAGCAGCUGUGGCUGUGCCUGUGCCUGUGCCGCCGCCGCCGCCGCCGCCUCGCUCUCCCCCUCCCGGUCCGUCCGGCCCGGCCCGCCCCCCGCGGAGAUGCGGCCGACGCUCCGAAAAGCCCUGGGGCGCGAGCUCUGGCCGCGACGCUGGCGGGUGCUGAAGCUCGGGCUGCGGCCGCCGCGGCUGACGCUGCUGCCGCCGCUGCUGCGGGCGCCCCCGUUGUUGUGAAGCCCCGACGCCGCCGCUCACUCCGCCAUGUUGCCGCCCCCUGCCUGCGGUAGCGGCCGCCGCGCCUGCGCAGAGCCUCCGGGGGCGGAGCCCCGCGGCUCCCCCGCUUCUGCCCUGCCCUCCAUCCCUCUCCGCCCACCCGCCCCGACACCCGUGUCCGUCCCCCAACCACCAACCACCAACCACCCAGAACGGAUAGACAGGAGGCUCAUCGUCUUGGUCUUCACCAUUGCGUCCGGCAGCCGCCACGGCCAGUGCCACACGCCUCGGGAGGUAGGGGAGUGGCGGACGGCCUCUUGCCGCCCCUCUUCGCCCUCCUCGCGGUUCCGCCCGCCUGCCCCGCCCCCCUCCACACGCACCCCCAAGCCCCUAAUUUCCCAAAUAAGAAGUGGCUGGCGAAGCAGAAACAAACGCGCCGUGGAGCAAGAGCUUGCAUUGUCCGGGAGGGAUACAGACGGAAUGUAAUGGGUCUUUUUCUACGGCCAUGAGGGAGGCUGACACCUGCACACACAGGCACGACUUAAAAUAGAACUUGUCACACCGUGAUCCGCCCUGGAUGGAGCUCUGAACAACAAACAGCUCUCGAGCUCACCUACCAGCCUAAAAAGCCUGCACUGACUGACACUAGAGGGUAGUUCGGUGGGAGCUACAAAUCCCACAUUUCAAAAAUCCCCUGCGAUCCUCAGGUAUGAUGCCAACUAACGAUGCUUCCCUUCUCCUGAGUCACGUACAGCUCAAAGAUUUUUGAAAUUAUCUAAGAAUAUAGGGAAUCUUCAUGGCCACCUUUAAUCUUGAAAAAAGUAGAUCGCUCUAUCUGCAUAAAUAUCAAAGCAAAAAUAUUACUGCUUAAGAAAAUUAAAAUGUGUAUAGUAAUCUGGCUGCUAGAUUACUAAACAAGCGGGACUGCUGUUUUCUCCUUUGAAAUGAAGGAUGUACUUUUUUGAUAUUUCAUGAAGUAUGCCCUUUUCAAUAAAGAUAUAUUACAAGCCACCAGAAAUACUCAGUAUCUUGAGGUACAUUCAAGUCAUUCUACUUGUCAUCUCAAAUAAAAAAGAGUCAAUAUACAAAUCUAUCAUAAUUUGUUUUGUGAUUAUUCACAUUUAAUUGGACUAGCUAGUCAAGUUAUCUGUCAGGAUACUGGAACAUGGUAAAGUUCUAAAAUAGUAUAGGUUAUGUGUAAUGAAGCUCUUCAAAACCAGCACUUAUGAUUAGUUUUUAAUUGUGUAUGAAUUUGUUUAAACUUGCACUGAAUUGAUUGAAUUAUUAAGCAAAAAAAAAUCCUUUGGAAAGAAGUGAUAAUUGCUAUGUCCAUUUAUAUUAAAUAACAAUUGAAUUACAAAAUGUUAUAAUGAUCGAAACUGUAGGGAAAGCUUAUAAAACCAAUAACUUUUAAUAGUCUGACUUUGAUAUGCUCUAAUUUAAAAAUCCUGUGACACAUAGCAUUUGUGCUAUAAAUGCCCGUAGCAUUUAUGGUGUUAUCUAUUUUUGUGAGCACCAUUUUCAUUUGUAAAUCUAAAAUAAUAUAUCUUGAAUAUGUAAAUCCAGAUGGAAAGAUCAUCACACUAGCUUUUUUUCACCUUGCUGUGUGUAAAAAUGGCACCAGGUUGUACCUCUUGCUGUUUUUAGAUGUCUUGCACGAGUGCUUUGAGAGACAGUGACAGCCUCAACUUUCUAUUUCCUUUCCCAGUGAAUAGCUUAACAUCAUUUUAAUAUCUCCACUUUAAUUUUCCCUGUUUUGCUUCUUAAGCACUACGUGUGGCCCUUUGGGUUUUUUUUUUGCUUGUUUGUUCAUUUCAUAUUUGUUCAUUUUCCUUUAGCAGAGAUCGGGAGUGGGUAAAAAGAGUAUUACUUUUUCAAAGUAAGAAACCCCAGCUUCUGUUGCAGACUUAAUUCAAUAUUAGAAAUAUUUAAAAGAGCUUACCAAUUAAAAAGCAUUCUCCAGUACACUGUCAGGUCCUUGAUGACAGUGUGAUACUAUGGAAAGUGCACAGUCUUUGGAAUCAUCCUCACAACUUACUACCUGUGCAGCCUACUCAAUUCAUUGAGCGAAGCCUCCUCAUUCACUAACAGGAAUGAGAAUACCUAUCCCAUAGGAAAGGGAUGAAUUCAGUGAAACUACUUGAACUCAGCAGCCAGCACAUCGUAAAUGUGUCCUCGUUUCCUUAGUAUAUAGGCACAAUAUAUGUUGAAUGACCUGUAAACAUGUGUAAAACCAAUUACAACUACAUACAAGUCUUUAUAAUUGCACAGUUAUAUGUUUUCAAUACUAACCCCGAAAGCAUAAAGUUUAGAAAAGACAGCAGGUUAGUUUCCUUUUAGCCUACAAAGCCUAUUUCCCUAUAAAUGUACAAAUAGAUUAGUGUUUGCAUUAGCAAUAUUCUGAAAUAAAAGAUCGUUACAUAAUAGAAGCUACCUAAAAUGUUCAUAUUUUUAAAUCUCCAGAUUUAAAAUGUUUUAUGUGGUGAAUAUUAGUUUUGUAUACAUUUUUAUUUUAAUAUAUGCAUACCCCUACUUCCAAAGGACAUUUUUCAGUGAUAAGAAGCCCAUGAAUCUGAGGGGUUUUUUUUAAAGAUUUUAUUUAUUUAUUCAUGAGAGACACAGAGAGAGAGAGGCAGAGACACAGGCAGAGGGAGAAGCAGGCUCCCUGCAGGGAGCCCGAUAUGGGACUUGAUCCCAGGACCCCGGGAUCACCCCUCAGCCAAGGGCAGACUCUGAACCACUGAGCCACACAAGCGCCCCAUGAAUCUGAGUUUUAAGAAGCAAUAUUUUUUUUAUUUUAAUUCCAGUAUAGUUAACAUUACAUUGUUAGACGAGUUUCGGGUGUACACUGUAGUGAUUUGGUAUUGUAAAUGAUGUAUCAAGAAGCAAUAUUGCAUAGUGAUUUUGAACACAUGCCCCAGGUUUAGUAGAUCCUGAGUUUGGAUUCCAGUUCCUGCAGCCACUUAUCUGUGUAAUCUUGGGCAAAUGACCUCCUCAAAGCCAUAGUUUAUCCUACCCAGAGUUGAGAUUCAUAGGAUUAAAGGAUGAGAAGAGCUAAUAUAUUUAAUGUACUAAUGUAGUAGCAAGCGUCAAUCAAUAUGUUUUUGUUCAUUGGCUGUGAAAAAACACAAUGUUGUAGUUAUUUCUGUGUCUUCAGCACCUAACAUGGCUGACUUAUAAUUUACAAUGAAUAGAUGUGUUCAAAAAUGAAUAAAUAAAAAAUAGCAAUUCUCCAGGCUAAAUAUCCCGAUUCCCUUGACUUGUUCUUUAAAGAAAAGGUUUCUAGUUAUCCUCUAAAUUUUAUCUGAAAAGUAUGUAGUAGGUUUAGAUCAGUACAAAACAGAGGGUAACUCUUACCCAAAACUCAACCUUUAGAAAUAUAACUCCUGUUAAUGUAACCCCAUAUCUUCAUUUUGGUUUGGUUCUAGGUUUUAUGGCAACAUAAUGCUAAUGAUUCCUGUUUGGCACAUAGUAAGUUCUUAAAUAAUUUCAAUUCCAUUAUCCUCUCAUGUUAAAAUUCUUAUCAACUGAAAUAUCAAGAUUUUUGUUUCAUUUUUAUUAUUUUGUUUUGUUUAUAGACAUGCUGCUGCUAAAAAGCAACACAAACCCUACAUAUAGAUUUUGAAAUAUAAAGUGCAGAAUUGUACAUACAUAUUCAGAUUUAGUUUAAUUCCAUUUUUAUCUAUUCAAUUUUUCUAUUUAAUUUUCUAUUUAAAUUUAAUUUGCUGGGAAUUUCUUAAUCCUAUUUAUAUCAUGCAAAAAUUUGUCUUAUUAUUAGAUUGUCAGCAUACUUGAGCACAAUUCUUCUAUGUCUUCAACCAAAUAUUUGAUUGAAUAGGAUAAAAACAGCUCUAUAUUCACUAGAUACAUUGAUUGAAAUCAAUUUACAUUUUUCAAACCAUAGUCCUCAACCCAUUAGUGAGCCAUGAAAUAGAUAUAGUAGGUUGCAACCAGCAGUUUAAUGAAACAGAAUGGAAAAUAUCAAAAUGCAUCUAUUAUUUUAAUUGUAUACACGCAUAUAUACAUAUUUAUGUACAUGUGAGCUUACUAGGUAAUCAUGUAAAAUGUAUCUUUUACUGUAAACAUAACCAAAAAGUUUGAAAAUCACUGAUUUAAGUUGUUUUUAAGCACCUGUUUGGCAUAAUCCUUCAACUAUUAAACAGCUACCAUCCUGUGCUAACAACUAGCUCAUGUUUCUCUAACUUGUGCAGAAGAAUAUCAUGAGAGAACUCGACAACUGGCUAAAGUCUGGAUACGCUGUCUCUGUGGGCAAAAUUAAAGUAAAUACUAUAGAGGGAUGUGAAUUGUUACCGUUUUUUCCAAUAACUACAACAUAAACAAGAAAAUGUGCUUAAUAUGACAUGACUUACUGCUCCCUUUUGUAAUGAAUGAACCAUUCUAUAAUCUC
rnacentral:lncRNA from 1 species